rnacentral:lncRNA from 1 species
GCUGGUGUGAAAUAUUUGAAUUAUGCUGCUAAGUAUUUCUAAACAUAAAUAAAUAUUAAGAAGAUAAAGAAAAAAUACUACAAUGUUGCUUUUAUUAAGCAAGAUUAUAUAAGAGAGAUAAGAUAAUGAACAUUAAACUUUUUCAGAUGAAUAUGUGGCCAGCCUCCAUCUUCCCACAUUUGAUGCUCACCUCACAGAGCUCAGUGAUGAACAGGCCAAGUAUAUGGGCUUAAACAAGGCUGGACCUUUCAAGCCUAAUUACUACAGGUACUAAGUGAUAAUAGGCUGAGGUACAAGAGAUUGCAAUCUACAUGGACUGUGUGACAGGGUCAGAGAUAUUGAGUCCACAUGAUAAUUUUUCAUACAUACUUUUGUUGUUAUAUCAAGAACUGGUUGUAAUAUAGCAUCAUACUGUUCCCAUUGUCUCAGACUUUGUCCAUUUAAUAAGUUUAUAUUCUGAAUUGUCAUCUGAACUUAAAAAAAAAAGUUUGCUGCAUCUACAGCAAAUCCCUGUGUACCUGUUAGCAAACAAAGUAUGAACAAAUGUACAUGUCUGUUGAAAGAGCCAAUAAGAGUACCUGAAAACAGUAACUGCCAAUCAUCUCAAGAGUUGUGUUGAGGUACUAAGAUGAUAUUUCAGAAUGUGAAUGUAAUGUCCAGUAAUGUAAGUAGCUUCCUAUUGACCAUCACAAUAGUAGGUGAACCAUAUUUGAAAGUACAUAUCUGUUCAAUCUCUGUUGUUUGUUGCAGAAAUGGUGGUGAGGUUCUGUAUAAUUUUUAUUGAGAUCUUCUUCUUUGCAAGAUUGUUAUCUACUACUGAAAAGUUGCUUGAACUCUCAAUUUGAUUUGUGUUAUUAUAAUAUGUAAGUGAUUAGUAAUAUAUAUCUUUUACAAUUUUUAUUUAAUGAAUAAUGUUCUGCCAUUAUUGAAAACAAAAAUAAAAGUUGAUUUGUAUUUGGAUAAGAAUUAAAUCUUUUAAAAAUGUGAAAGAAAAUAUAUUUGUGAUUUUUGUAUGCGUUCAUCAAUAUUGAAAGGUAAUUGCCAUGUAAAGAUAAGCAUGAAGAUAGUCGGCAGAAAUGCUAUCGUGUUGGAGAAUAUUUUUAAGAACAUAUAGUAGUUUGAAUGUCUGUUUAGACAAAAAUGGUUCUACACAUCUCAACAGCCAGGGGAAAAAAAAACUUGCGUAAAUAUGAUGAUUAUGUAUAAAACAUAUUUACCAGGUUUAUAUUUAGGUUUGGACAAUGAGAGUAACUGCAAUGGUCUGAAGAGUAAAGUGAAAGGUAGCAGAGGUGCUUGGUUGCAUUCAUGUGAACCAUCGAUAACACUGAAACCUUCCUGUCAGGGUUUCCUUUCCUUGAGCUAGGUAGAGGUUGAGUCAUUGGAAAGAGCUGGAUAUUUGAAGGACAUUGUUAUAUAGCUCAUAGGCCAUGUUUGUUGUAGAAUCUGCCUGUUUUGUCUGUGAUAGAUUUAGAAGACAGUACCAGGUGCAGAGUGUAACUGAUCAAUAUAACCACCAAGAGCAUGCAAUUUUAUCAAACUGGAGGUCAAUCUGGCUGCAUGAGAAGAAGAGUAACUCAACGUGAUUUUUAUUGUGUAUAAUAUAAUAUCUUGCUAGCACUUGUUUGAUGGUCUUUGGAGUAUUGCAGGAUGGGUAGCAGUCAGGUUGA